rnacentral:lncRNA from 1 species
AUGGAGACAAGCCUGGAAAAAUCCCAACUCCUGCUUCCUGCCCCUUGUGAGAGCCCCUGUUACCGACACACCUUGCGGGCGAUUUCAGCUGCAGCAUCUCGUCCCUUGACAUCUCCCCCCACCGGACAAACCAACGGAACCACCGCUAACUCCUGCCGGCUUCCCGUCAAACCAUCUGGAAACCUGGAACUUGAUGAGCCAGUUGGCUUCUUUUUCCAGCGGAUGGGUACCCUCGAGUAUGGAUUUCAUCAACGUCCCCGCUGCCGACCUUUUUCCAUCCUCCGAAAUGUACGAUUUACCGCCUCCACUAAACCUUCGCUACUUGGCUUUUUCACUGACUGCAUUAUAAUAAUGUUGGUAUUUGUUAAGCGCUUACUCUGCGCAGAACACUGUCCUAAGCGCCAGGGUGGAUACAGGGUCAUCAGCUUGUCCCCCGUGAGGCUCCCAGUUAAUCCCCAGUUUACAGAGGAGGGAACAGAGGCCCAGCGACUUGCCCACAGUCACCCUGCUGUCAGGUGGCAGAGAAGAAUUCGAACCCAUGACCCAAGCUCUUUCCACAGAGCCACGCUGCUUCUCAUUGGUGUCCAUGGCACCACACUAGAUGCAGCUGAAGGACGAUCUAAUCCCGAAUUGAGCAAGGGCUACCUCCCAAAUCUCACACAUCAUAUUUCUCUGGUGUCCCUGUGUCAUUUUUUUGGUGGCGGGAGGCACCCGCCUCCCCUUCAAAAGGACGCCAUUUUGGCCUGCUGCCCUCCCUGCCAUCUCCUGCUUGGCGUUCGUUUCGACGGAUCGCUCGGUCCUUCCCUCACCGUCACUUUGGACCCCCGCCCCCCCCGAGUCACUUUUUUCGUUAUACAACAGACCGACCCCGGAUUUCGGGGGCUGAGUUUCACGUGUCCAAACCGCCCUGCCCUUCCGUCAGAGCCUCCUGCCCAGGACCUGUCAGAGCAAACUGGUGGGGGGGGGGGGGGGGGGGGAAGACUCGAAAUUCAGACCCUGCGAAAAACCAAACUGAGGAAACGAGGGAUCCGCCGUUUAUUCUCUAAGGAAGUGACGCCCCAAAUUGGAAGGAAAAAAAGGACUGCGGUGCCCGCCCCAUCUCGUUUCCUUCCAGGAGCGUGGCUUUUCCUUUCGUUAUGGCCGCCCCGCCGCCAUCUUAGUUGA